UACGAAGGGUGCAAGCGUUGUUCGGAAUCAUUGGGCGUAAAGCGCGCGCAGGCGGAUUGAUAAGUCAGGUGUGAAAUCUCGAGGCUCAACCUCGAAACUGCGCCUGAAACUAUUAGUCUAGAAUGUCGGAGGGGGCAGGGGAAUUUCACGUGUAGGGGUAAAAUCCGUAGAGAUGUGAAGGAACACCGGAGGCGAAGGCGCCUGCCUGGACGACUAUUGACGCUGAGGCGCGAAAGCGUGGGGAGCAAACAGG
rnacentral:rRNA from 1 species